rnacentral:rRNA from 1 species
CUGGCAACAGCGAUAAGGGAACCUCGAGUGCCAGGUUACAAAUCUGGCUGUCGAGAUGCCUAAAAAGCAUUUCAUAGCAAGGGCCGGGCAAGACCGGUGCCAGCCGCCGCGGUAACACCGGCGGCUCGAGUGGUAACCGUUAUUAUUGGGUCUAAAGGGUCUGUAGCCGGCCGGAUAAGUCUCUUGAGAAAUCUGGCAGCUUAACUGUCAGGCUUUCAGGAGAUACUGUCUGGCUCGAGGCCGGGAGAGGUGAGAGGUACUUCAGGGGUAGGGGUGAAAUCUUGUAAUCCUUGAAGGACCACCAGUGGCGAAGGCGUCUCACCAGAACGGACCUGACGGCAAGGGACGAAAGCUAGGGGCACGAACCGGAUUAGAUACCCGGGUAGUCCUAGCCGUAAACGAUACUCGCUAGGUGUCGGCCACGGUGCGACCGUUGUCGGUGCCGUAGGGAAGCCGUGAAGCGAGCCACCUGGGAAGUACGGCCGCAAGGCUGAAACUUAAAGGAAUUGGCGGGGGAGCACCACAACGGGUGGAGCUUGCGGUUUAAUUGGAUUCAACGCCGGAAAUCUUACCGGGACCGACAGCAAUAUGAAGGCCAGGCUGAAGACUUUGCCGGAUUAGCUGAGAGGUAGUGCAUGGCC